AUAAAUUAAAUUUAAGUGUUUAUAUGGAUGGUUAUUAUAAUAUAUAUAUAAAAGUUUUUAUAGUAAAGUAGUGGGUAUGGAAAUAAUUUUUUGGUUGUACUGAAGAGGAUAGAUAUUAGGAUUUUAAGUAUAGUAAAAUUUAAAUUUUGUACCUUUUGUAUAAUGGUUUGAUGAUAUUAUUAAGUAUAUAUUUAUUUCUCGAAAUACAAAGAUUUAUUUGCUUUAAUAUAUUAUUAUAUAAUUAGUUAACGUGGUAUAGUUAUUAUUUUAAAGGUAAAUGGUAGUGAAAUGUUAUUCGGUUUGUAUGGUAGCUAGUUUAUUUAUUUUUACAUUUUAGUGUUAGUUAAAAAUUAAUUAUAUAAGUAAUUUUUUUUUGAUUUAAAUAUUGGGGGAUAAGCUUCAUAUAUAGGGUGUAAGAAAGUUUUUAAUAUUAAAUAGUUAAUUAAAGUUGAAUUAAUAUUUUUUCUUGGUUGGUAUAUUAAUAUACUAUAUUUGGUAAAUUUUUUUCUUUAUGAUUAAUUAAAUAAAUUUCUUUAAAUUAUGGAGAGAAAAAUAUAAUGUUAAAAUGAGUAUUAUUUUGUUGAGUAUAUUUAUUAAUUUAUAAAUAAAUUAAUAAUUAAAAUUUAAGGUUAUAUAUAUAAAUAUACAUAUUUUGAAUUAAGUAGAAUUAAGGAAUUCGGCAAAUGAUAAUUUCGCCUGUUUAUCAAAAACAUGUCUCUUUGAGUUUUUUUAAUAAAGAGUUGGGCCUGCUCGGUGAUUAAUAUUUAACAGCUGCGGUAUUAUAACUGUACUAAGGUAGCAUAGUAAUUUGCUCUAUAAAUUGGGGCUAGAAUGAAUGGUUUGACGAAAAUUUAACUGUCUCUAUUUUAUUUAUUAGAAAUUAAUUUUUAUAGUGAAAAAGCUUAAAUUAUUUAAAGGGACGAAAAGACCCUAUUGAGCUUAUAUUAUUUAUUAAAUUAUAUAGUUAUAGUUUAUUAUAAAUUAAUUUUGAUUGGGGUGAUCAAGGAAUAAAUUUUAUUAUUAUAUAACUUCCUUAGUUAAAAUAGUUUUUGGAAAAAUAAACCAAGUUUUUUGCUUAGAAGAUAAGUUACCAUAGGGAUAACAGCGUAAUUUUUUUUGAGAGUUCAUAUUGAAAAAGGAGAUUGCGACCUCGAUGUUGGAUUAAAAUUAACCUUAAGGUGUAGAGGCUUUAUUAGGUAAAUCUGUUCGAUUUUUAAAAUUUUACAUGAUCUGAGUUCAAACCGGCGAAAGCCAGGUUGGUUUUUAUCUUUUAAAUUGUUUUUUUUAUUUGAUUUAGUACGAAAGGAUUAAUUGUGAUUAAUUAUAUUAAUUAAUUUUUUAAGAUUAUAUAA